UACAGAGGGUGCGAGCGUUAAUCGGAAUUACUGGGCGUAAAGCGCGCGUAGGCGGCUUUGCAAGUCGGGUGUGAAAUCCCCAGGCUUAACCUGGGAACUGCAUUCGAGACUGCAUUGCUAGAGUAUGGGAGAGGGAAGUGGAAUUUCCGGUGUAGCGGUGAAAUGCGUAGAUAUCGGAAGGAACAUCAGUGGCGAAAGCGACUUCCUGGACCAAUACUGACGCUGAGGCGCGAAAGCGUGGGGAGCAAACAGG
rnacentral:rRNA from 1 species